CUAGAAUCUAGCUCAUGAUAAGCAGAAGAUAUGUUAGGGAAUUUCAAGAGAUGAUAUAUCCAGGAGGCAGUGACAAAAUUAAGACAAACUGAAGCAAGGUCGAUGGCCUCCACUCUGAGAAAAUCCUGAGGAGCUGGUGGCCGCUUGAUUUCUUGCAUCCAUUAUAAGUGACCUGGGAAAAGUGCAGAAAGGGUCAGAUAGAGGGAUAGAAGAGAAUCCUGCAGAAGAAACGCCAGUCUCUCCACCACUUUGUCAAGAAGUCAUGCUUUCCCAUUCUGAUCUACAAAGGUACGAUGAGAAACCUUCUCAUGGUGCUGACAACAGAGGGUAUGGAGCCCAACACUGAGGAGACAGCAAAGGGUCACCAAGACCCAAGAGUCAAAGGGCACCAGAGAUGUGGCCAUCAGUUGCCAGGCUGGUGGGGCAGAUGUCUACUGGCUUCUUCAACAGGAAGGGAUUUUGUCCUUGCCUAAGCAGACAUGUUAGCUCCUGGUGAUUGGAUAUCUGACUUCUUAUCUCUCAGCUCAUACAUCCAGUCCUCACAGAAGUCCUUCCUGGUCA